CGGGGACCCCCUCCCGCGCCUGCGACUCCGCCCGCCGGACGCCGUCUCCGGGGCAACCGAGCGCCAAAGUCCCCACUACCACCCGGGCGCCCUAAGGAGCGGGGGUGGACCCAGCCGUAUGGAAACAGAGCCGAGAGGAGCCCCUCCAGGUGUGAGCAGAACCUUGAAGGAGGCAGGGAGCAGCCACGUGACUCUGAGGAACAGCAUUUCCAGGAGGAAUUGUGAUUGUAUUUCUGGGAACGUAUCUUGGCAGCAUUGUUUUGGAAUGCUUAAAUAAAGGUAACAUUAGUAGAGGUAUAAACAUGAUGGAAACCUUCAACAGCAAAGAAAAUACAUGUUUUAAAACAAGAAAAUCAAUGAGUAAACAACCAAAAAAUAAACAGAUGAAUAAAGCAAGAAAA